GACGAACGCUGGCGGCGUGCUUAACACAUGCAAGUCGAACGAAGAGCGAUGGAAGCUUGCUUCUAUCAAUCUUAGUGGCGAACGGGUGAGUAACGCGUAAUCAACCUGCCCUUCAGAGGGGGACAACAGUUGGAAACGACUGCUAAUACCGCAUACGAUCUAACCUCGGCAUCGAGGAUGGAUGAAAGGUGGCCUCUAUUUAUAAGCUAUCACUGAAGGAGGGGAUUGCGUCUGAUUAGCUAGUUGGAGGGGUAACGGCCCACCAAGGCGAUGAUCAGUAGCCGGUCUGAGAGGAUGGACGGCCACAUUGGGACUGAGACACGGCCCAGACUCCUACGGGAGGCAGCAGUGGGGGAUCUUCCGCAAUGGACGAAAGUCUGACGGAGCAACGCCGCGUGAGUGAUGACGGCCUUCGGGUUGUAAAGCUCUGUUAAUCGGGACGAAAGGCCUUCUUGCGAAUAGUUAGAAGGAUUGACGGUACCGGAAUAGAAAGCCACGGCUAACUACGUG
rnacentral:rRNA from 1 species